rnacentral:tRNA from 1 species
GGAGAGGUGGCCGAGUGGCUUAAGGCGCUCCCCUGCUAAGGGAGUAUAGGAGCAAUACUCUUAUCGAGGGUUCGAAUCCCUCUCUCUCCGCCA